AUGGUUCUCAACUACAGUAAGAAACAUUAUAUGAUCCCUCAAAAAAAAAAGAAACAGUAUAUGAUCUGUACCGUACGUACACAGGAUGCUUAUUUUUCAUGUUUUUGUUGUGCCGAUGUGGAAACCAAGGUUCCGGAGCAACCCCUGGAGGGCUUUCCCGAUCCAGACCAUGUCGUUUUCGAACAUACUGGCCGGCCUGUUCGCAGCUUCCUCGUACAAGAUGAUGUCGUCGCCGUUUAUUCCGGCAGAAGCAAGGCCGCCGUUUUGUGCUGCCGCCAUGUUUGCUCUCCUGCGAAGCUCCUCUGGAAUCUUCUCGUCUUUCUGCAAGGUAAACUGCAUCACAAAACAACAUGUAGUGAUCGUUCAAGAUCAAGUUGCCGGGCUGCAGCUAGGAUGAAGCAGUCUUAUGAUCAUAUAUAUAUCAACCAAAUGAGAGUUGGAGAAUCCAUUUGA
rnacentral:rRNA from 1 species